rnacentral:rRNA from 1 species
CAUUCAAUAGCGGAGGAAAAGAAACCAACAGGGAUUGCCCUAGUAACGGCGAGUGAAGCGGCAACAGCUCAAAUUUGAAAUCUGGGUCUUUUAGGCUCCGAGUUGUAAUUUGUAGAGGGUGCUUUGGUGUUGGCUGCGGUCUAAGUUCCUUGGAACAGGACGUCACAGAGGGUGAGAAUCCCGUACGUGGUCGACAGUCUUCACCGUGUAAAGCCCCUUCGACGAGUCGAGUUGUUUGGGAAUGCAGCUCUAAAUGGGAGGUAAAUUUCUUCUAAAGCUAAAUAUUGGCCAGAGACCGAUAGCGCACAAGUAGAGUGAUCGAAAGAUGAAAAGCACUUUGGAAAGAGAGUCAAAAAGCACGUGAAAUUGUUGAAAGGGAAGCGCUUGCAAUCAGACUUGCCUGUAGUUGCUCAUCUAGGCUCUUGCCUGGUGCACUCUUCUAUGGGCAGGCCAGCAUCAGUUCAGGCGGCUGGAUAAAGGCCUCUAUCACGUAUCUUCCUUCGGGAUGACCUUAUAGGGGAGGUGUAAUGCAGCCAGCCUGGAUUGAGGUCCGCGCAUCUGCUAGGAUGCUGGCGUAAUGAUUGUAAGCGGCCCGUCUUGAAACACGGACCAAGGAGUCUAACAUCUAUGCGAGUGUUUGGGUGUAAAGCCCGGGCGCGUAAUGAAAGUGAACGGAGGUGGGAACCUUAGGGUGCACCAUCGACCGAUCCUGAUGUCUUCGGAUGGAUUUGAGUAAGAGCAUAGCUGUUGGGACCCGAAAGAUGGUGAACUAUGCCUGAAUAGGGUGAAGCCAGAGGAAACUCUGGUGGAGGCUCGCAGCGGUUCUGACGUGCAAAUCGAUCGUCAAAUUUGGGCAUAGGGGCGAAAGACUAAUCGAACU